rnacentral:lncRNA from 1 species
CUUAAGAAACUGAGAUGUGAGCAAGCCAGUUUCUGGCUUCUGCCCUUUAACAGCCUCUAAAGAUUGUGGAGAAAUAAAGGAAAAUGUGGCUUUAAGAUAAAUCGGAAUGCAUUAAGGCUUUUAGACAUUCAGAGAGUUUGAGAAAUACAGUCUAGAGGGACUAAAAGCUACAAAAAAUUCACCUGGUUGUAAGAUUUCAGUUGCGACUACUGAAUUUCCUGAUCUUUUCUCUGUCUCAAGAAUGAUAGAGCACUGGGUUGUGCCAGCUAAUAUAAUUAUAGGAAAACAGGAUUUAAGGAUUUACAAUAAUCUUACAUUUUUAGACAAAACAUUAUUGCUCUAGAAUGUUUCUUACAGAAGUAGAAUAAUCUCACUAACUUCAACAGUAUAUUGGCUGAGCUAGAUUUUUUUUUUUAAUUGUUUCUUUAGGCUAUUAGAACAGUAGGGAAAUCCCGUAGGCUUAGUUCUAAUCACUAUAUGUUGUGCAUGCUUAACGUUUGAGGGGCCCUUAGGAUAUGCAGAAAUACAGAUUAGAGUUAAAUCUUAGCUGUAAAUCACAUCAAAGCAAUGUUCUAGAAAGCAAGCAAGCACAGAUAAAGCUAACGUGCCAGGAGGAAUGUGCUGCAACAGUAGCAGACCUACAGAGAAGCAAAAGAUGAAUACACUGUUUGGAAAAAGGAGGUUGUGAAUAGCUUGUAAAUGUAUUUGCUUUUUAAUGUGAAAGAUGAAAUGGUUUGCCAUAUAAGGUUGUAGGCCUCUAGGGUACAAUAUAUAUAAUUUGAUACACACUAUACAGACAGAACUGGAAUUUUGGCUUCAGGUUAUCUGAUGUAAGGAACACAUAUUUUAGGGAGAACAAAGAAGUAGUGAAAGAGCCAUAAUGCACAGUGGCUGAAAGUAUUCUUGCCUCUUGGAGUUAUUUGGGAAGCUGCAAGCCAACUCCCAAGUUUGUAAUGCCAGUCUUCCCUUCUCCUGGAUAUUCACCCAGUUUGAGUAAAACCUGUAGGCAGAAGGGGAAAGGAAUGGUGACGAAAUGGAAAUGGUUAAAAUAUCAAGAGAAAACACAUGCUGAGGGGACCCUCCUCCCAGAGAUCAAGAGGAAACUGAUCCUGGCUGCAUCCCGGGAAUGAAUGGUAAACCACGACUAUUUUGGAAAAAAUCUGCUAGAGAAAUAACACCCCAAGAUGCAAUACUGUUGUGUGGCUUGUGAUUUCAGCUCACUUCCACUGGCUGGGUAGGCUCUGCUGCAGCUCCUUCCUGGGCAGCAGUGUCGGCGCUGCUGCUGCUGGUGCAGCUACCCCUUGCUGUGGGAUCAGUUUUCUGCCGUCUCCUGACUGACCUGUUUAUGCCUCAUCCCACAGACGCAACUUCUUCCACGUCAGACAAAAAUCUCCAAGGAAAAAAGAGCAUGGAGCAAGAUAGGGCAGUCAUGCACUGGGUCUGAAAAGAGCCAGUCUUGCAAAAGAGCUGGAAGCAUUCUCAUAAUGCAGCACUGCAGCAUGAACAGCAGUUUCGCGCUACCUAUCUUCGACUCAGAUAACAGGUGUUAAUUCAACCACGUUAGCUGAACUGUUUCUGGGGAUAUGAUGCUUUUAAAUCAUCUUUAUCUCUUCUAGUGGUCCUGCUCCUUGCUUCUGAUCUUGCAAGUCCAUUUCAAGGAUAUUUUCUGCAGCUCUGUUUCCUGUUAGUUAGUCCCUCUCUUACCGAGUCUGAUUCUUCACGUACAGAAUUCCAGUCAUUGUGACAAAUCACUUCUUUCCCCUCUAGCCCUUCCCUUCCAACUUCUGCUGUUUGUCUGUUCAGUCCUCUUCCAGGUGGCUCUUUA